rnacentral:rRNA from 1 species
UACAGAGGAUGCAAGCGUUAUCCGGAAUGAUUGGGCGUAAAGCGUCUGUAGGUGGCUUUUUAAGUCCGCCGUCAAAUCCCAGGGCUCAACUCUGGACAGGCGGUGGAAACUACCAAGCUGGAGUACGGUAGGGGCAGAGGGAAUUUCCGGUGGAGCGGUGAAAUGCGUAGAUAUUGGGAGGAACACCAGUGGCGAAGGCGGCUCACUGGACCGGAACUGACGCUGAGGCGCGAAAGCGUGGGGAGCAAACGGG